GUUAAAAAGCUCGUAGUUGGAUUUCGGUUAAGAGCGACCGGUCCGCCGUUUGGUGUGCACUGGUUGGUUUUAACUUCCUGUAGAGGACGUGCUCUGGGCUUAACGGUCUGGACUCGGAGUCUACGUGGUUACUUUGAAAAAAUUAGAGUGUUCAAAGCGGGCUUACGCUUGAAUAUUUCAGCAUGGAAUAACACUAUAGGACUCCUGUCCUAUUUCGUUGGUCUCGGGACGGGAGUAAUGAUUAAGAGGAACAGUUGGGGGCAUUCGUAUUUCAUUGUCAGAGGUGAAAUUCUUGGAUUUAUGAAAGACGAACUUCUGCGAAAGCAUUUGCCAAGGAUGUUUUCAUUAAUCAAGAACGAAAGUUGGGGGCUCGAAGAUGAUUAGAUACCAUCCUAGUCUCAACCAUAAACGAUGCCGACUAAGGAUUGGCGGAUGU
rnacentral:rRNA from 1 species